rnacentral:rRNA from 1 species
AAGUCGAGCGGUAAGGNCCCUUCGGGGGUACACGAGCGGCGAACGGGUGAGUAACACGUGAGCAACCUACCCUUCACUUCGGGAUAAGCCUCGGAAACGGGGUCUAAUACCGGAUAUCACUCACUACUUCAUGGUGGUGGGUUGAAAGUUCUGGCGGUGGGGGAUGGGCUCGCGGCCUAUCAGCUUGUUGGUGGGGUAAUGGCCUACCAAGGCGUCGACGGGUAGCCGGCCUGAGAGGGCGACCGGCCACACUGGGACUGAGACACGGCCCAGACUCCUACGGGAGGCAGCAGUGGGGAAUAUUGCGCAAUGGACGAAAGUCUGACGCAGCAACGCCGCGUGAGGGAUGACGGCCUUCGGGUUGUAAACCUCUUUCAGCAGGGACGAAGCGAGAGUGACGGUACCUGCAGAAGAAGGACCGGCCAACUACGUGCCAGCAGCCGCGGUAAUACGUAGGGUCCGAGCGUUGUCCGGAAUUAUUGGGCGUAAAGGGCUCGUAGGCGGUUCGUCACGUCGGGAGUGAAAACUCGGAGCUCAACUCCGAGCCUGCUUCCGAUACGGGCAGACUAGAGGUAGGCAGGGGAGAGCGGAACUCCUGGUGUAGCGGUGGAAUGCGCAGAUAUCAGGAAGAACACCGGUGGCGAAGGCGGCUCUCUGGGCCUUACCUGACGCUGAGGAGCGAAAGCGUGGGUAGCGAACAGGAUUAGAUACCCUGGUAGUCCACGCCGUAAACGUUGGGCGCUAGGUGUGGGGGACAUUCCACGUCCUCCGUGCCGCAGCUAACGCAUUAAGCGCCCCGCCUGGGGAGUACGGCCGCAAGGCUAA